UUAGAUACCCUAUUAUUUUGAUUGUAUAACGAUAAAUUAGAUGAUUAAUAGUUAAGUUCUUUAAAGUUAAAUAAUUUGGCGGUAUUUUAGUCUUUUCAGAGGAACCUGUCCUAUAAUUGAUAAUCCACGUUUAAAAUUACUUAAAUUAGAAAUUUAUAUAUCAUCGUGAAAAAUAUUUUUUUAGAAUUAAAUAUUUUUAAUAUAAAAUUUUAUAAUAAUUCAGAUCAAGGUAUAGUUAAUAUUUAAGAAGAGAUGGGUUACAAUAAAGUUAUUUAUGAAAAUAAAAUUUAAAAUUUUAUAGAAAAUGGAUUUGAAGGUAAUUAAAUUUAU
rnacentral:rRNA from 1 species